UGGGGAAUAUUGCACAAUGGGGGAAACCCUGAUGCAGCAACGCCGCGUGGAGGAUGACGCAUUUCGGUGUGUAAACUCCUUUUAUAUACCAAGAUAAUGACGGUAGUAUAUGAAUAAGCACCGGCUAACUCCGUGCCAGCAGCCGCGGUAAUACGGAGGGUGCAAGCGUUACUCGGAAUCACUGGGCGUAAAGGAUGCGUAGGCGGGUGAUCAAGUUGAGAGUGAAAUCCUAUGGCUUAACCAUAGAACUGUUCUCAAAACUGGUUACCUAGAAUAUGGAAGAGGCAGAUGGAAUUAGUGGUGUAGGGGUAAAAUCCGUAGAGAUCACUAGGAAUACCGAUUGCGAAGGCGAUCUGCUGGGACAUUAUUGACGCUGAGGCAUGAAAGCGUGGGGAGCAAACA
rnacentral:rRNA from 1 species